AUUGAACGCUGGCGGCAGGCCUAACACAUGCAAGUCGAAUGGUAACAGGAAACAGCUUGCUGUUUCGCUGACGAGUGGCGGACGGGUGAGGAAUGUCUGGGAAACUGCCUGAUGGAGGGGGAUAACUACUGGAAACGGUAGCUAAUACCGCAUAACGUCGCAAGACCAAAGAGGGGGACCUUCGGGCCUCUUGCCAUCAGAUGUGCCCAGAUGGGAUUAGCUAGUAGGUGGGGUAACGGCUCACCUAGGCGACGAUCCCUAGCUGGUCUGAGAGGAUGACCAGCCACACUGGAACUGAGACGCGGUCCAGACUCCUACGGGAGGCAGCAGUGGGGAAUAUUGCACAAUGGGCGCAAGCCUGAUGCAGCCAUGCCGCGUGUAUGAAGAAGGCCUUCGGGUUGUAAAGUACUUUCAGCGGGGAGGAAGGGAGUAAAGUUAAUACCUUUGCUCAUUGACGUUACCCGCAGAAGAAGCACCGGCUAACUCCGUG
rnacentral:rRNA from 1 species